rnacentral:lncRNA from 1 species
CGCCAUCUACGCUUGAUCGCCUCAUCCUUCACAAGAAGCUGAUCAUAUCUGUCCUUGAUGCAUUUGACUUCGCUGACAUCCCUCGUCUUCCUCUCCCUAAUCUUGGCCAUCUUAUAGAUGUCCCUUUCGCCUUCCUUAGUGUUUAAACGUUGGUAGAGGUCCUCAUACGCCCGACCUCUCGCUUCACUCACCGCCCGCUUUG